GAUGAACGCUGGCGGCGUGCCUAAUACAUGCAAGUCGAGCGAACGGACGAGAAGCUUGCUUCUCUGAUGUUAGCGGCGGACGGGUGAGUAACACGUGGAUAACCUACCUAUAAGACUGGGAUAACUUCGGGAAACCGGAGCUAAUACCGGAUGAUAUUUUGACCCGCAUGGUUCAAACGUGAAAGACGGUCUUGCUGUCACUUAUAGAUGGAUCCGCGCUGCAUUAGCUAGUUGGUAAGGUAACGGCUUACCAAGGCAACGAUGCAUAGCCGACCCGAAAGGGUCGUCGGACAGCCUGGAACUGAGACACGGUCCCGACUCCGACGGUAGGACGCAGUAGGGAAUCUUACGCGAGGGGCGAGUGCCUGACGUAGCAACGUCGCGUGAGUGAUGAAGGUGUUCUGAUCGUAGAACUCUGUAAUUAGGGAGGUUGAUAUGUGUAAGUAGCUGUGCACAUCUUGACGGUACCAAAUCAGAAAGCCACGGCUAACUACGUG
rnacentral:rRNA from 1 species